rnacentral:tRNA from 1 species
GAUGGGUUAGCUCAGUGGUUAGACUUUAGGUCUUGUGACCGGAAGGUCUCGGGUUUGAAUCCCGCCAGAAGUA